UCUCUUUUCUCAGCAGCAGCAGCCUUUCCUCUCACUCUCUCACUCACUACUCUUGUUGUUUUAUCUCUCUCUCUCUCUCUGUGGCAUCUGGUCGGUGAUUGGCAGGUGCGAUGACCUUCACAACACCUUCGACAACACCUGCAACACCUUCGGCAACACCUUCGGUCUUUCUCUAUAAAAAGAGCUAAGUUGGGAGGAGAAGGGAAGGGGGAGAGCAAGGCUCUAAAGCAAGAGGAAAGGAUAAAGAAAAAUAGAAACAAAGGGAAAGUGGGGGAGUUUAGUUUGUACAUAUUAGAGUGUGGUAGUUUCGGGAGUAUGCGAAACUAACUUCCUUGUCUUAGGGUUAAAAUGAAACCCUGAUUAAGUAAUAGUGGUGAGUUGUAUUUAGUAUUUUAAGUUUUGAUUUGAUUUGGAUAAAUUGUGUAAUUUUUAGAUUUUUUUGUACAAUAAAUGUUCUAUUCAAACUAUGUUAUACAA